rnacentral:rRNA from 1 species
UAGUCAUAUGCUUGUCUCAAAGAUUAAGCCAGGCAUGUCUAUGCACAAGCCGAUUAAUGGUGAAGCCGCGAAUGGCUCAUUACAACAGCCACUGUUUACUUGAUCUUGACUAUCCUACUUGGAUAACUGUGGUAAUUCUAGAGCUAAUACACGCAAUAAAGCUCCGACCUUACGGGACGAGCGCAUUUAUUAGACCAAAACCAAUCGGGCUUCGGCCUGAGCCGUUGGUGACUCUGAAUAACUGAGCUGAUCGCAUGGUCUUUGUACCGGCGACGCAUCUUUCAAGUGUCUGCCUUAGCAACUUUCGAUGGUAGUUUAUGUGCCUACCAUGGUUGUUACGGGUAACGGAGAAUAAGGGUUCGACUCCGGAGAGGGAGCCUGAGAAACGGCUACCACAUCCAAGGAAGGCAGCAGGCGCGCAAAUUACCCACUCUCGGCGCGAGGGGGUAGUGACGAAAAAUAACGAGGCGGUUCUCUAUGAGGCCCGCUAUCGGAAUGGGUACAAUUUAAACCCUUUAACGAGGACCUAUGAGAGGGCAAGUCUGGUGCCAGCAGCC